AUGAGGCCCAUGCUGGGCUCAAUGCACUGGAUCAUGGCAUUCCUCUCCAGCUUCAGUUGACGCUGGCAGCGCAGGAAGAGGCUCUCUAUCAAUCUGACCUGCCCCUAGUGGAUCCCAUGGAUGGCAGCCAGCCUGCACUUCCAGUGGUAAUGGGCUGAUACACCAUCGCUGCAAACGCUGCAGGUCUGAAGUUUAUCUGGUUGGUUAACAGUGCGGGAUGAGAAUUUGUGGCAGUUUCUCACUGAGUUUCUCCAAGCACAGAGGAUUUGAACUGUGAUAAAUGCUGGAAGACAUCGGAUAGCUGCCAGAAAUGUGAUUGGAUGAUGGAGCCAACCAAAUGAACAGCCUGGGAUUCAAGAAGUGAAAUAAUUGGAAGACUGAAGUUGCUCCUGAGAAGGUUGUUUGCAGGUUCUUCUGACUGUAAGGAG
ensembl:lncRNA